UACGAAGGGGGCUAGCGUUGUUCGGAUUUACUGGCGUAAAGAGCGUGUAGGCGGCCCGGUAAGUCCGCUGUAAAAGUCAAAGGCUCAACCUUUGAAUGUCAGUGGAUACUGCCGGGCUAGAGUCCGGAAGAGGCGAGUGGAACUCCUGGUGUAGCGGUGGAAUGCGCAGAUAUCAGGAAGAACACCAACGGCGAAGGCAGCUCGCUAGGACGGUACUGACGCUGAGACGCGAAAAGCGUGGGGGAGCGAACAGG
rnacentral:rRNA from 1 species